GCAGGGCUGUUAUCGGGGUGUUUUUGGGGUGCUGCAGGGCUGUUUUUGGGGUGUUUUUGGGGUGUUGUAGGGCUGUUUUUGGGGUGUUGCGGUGCCGUUCCCACACUCACCCUCCACCAGGCGGCCGUCGUCGGUGCGACACACGCAGCUGUCUGUGGACAGGAGAUCCUCCACCUGCAUCUGUGGGGCCGGGGUCACAAGGAACCACUUAUGGGGCACAGGGACCCCCCAUCCUGCCCCACGGAAUCACUUAUGGGGCACAAGGAACCACUUAUGGGGCACUGGGACCCCCAUCCUGCCCUGUGGAACCACUUAUGGGGCACAGGAACCACUUAUGGGGCACAAGGAACCCCAAUUCUGUCCCAUAACACCACUGAUGGGGCACGGAACCCCCCAUCCUGCCUCACAGAACCACUUAUGGGGCACAGGCCCACACUUAUGGGGCACAGAUCCCCACUUAUGGGGCACGGAAACCCCCAUCCCGCCCCACAGAACCACUUAUGGGGCACAGACCCCCCCCCUUAUAUGGCACAAACCCCCACUUAUGGGGCACAGAACCCCACUUAUGGGGCAAGGAACCCCCCAUUCCGCC
rnacentral:lncRNA from 1 species